UUGCUAUUGUCCGAAUAGUCAGUUAAUUGGUAUUUCAUUAUACAGAAGAAAACUUUAUUUGUCAGCGAUGCACAAUUUCUUGAUGAUAAACAAAUUAGAGUUAAAUCAAACUUUGUAUUUAAUGAUGCGAUCUUAUUAGGUCAGAGGUGUUCCGAGUUUAAGGUGAUAUGGGACACUUCCAUGUUGUGACGUAUUGUUUAUCGAAAUAAACAAUAAAAUAAAGUGUAAUUAUAUAAGUACAUGUAGUUUCUUUUCAAAAAUGGUCACAUAACUCCUUAGCACAGUGGGUUAGAGGGUUACUAGGAACCUGUAAGUCAUGAGUUCGAAUCCCGCUGGGGUUUUUACAAUUUUUACCUUUUCAAAUAUUUUUAAAAGCUAUUUUUUGGUUAAAUAUUGUAAAUAUUGAUGACUAUUCACCAUGGGCAGAUAGCAUGGAUACUAUUUUAAAUUAGAUAAAAAGGCAUGUUUAUGCGGGCGCCUUCUAGUGAUCAAUUUGUCCGUCUGUCCAUCCGAGAUGGCUUGACAGGAGCAUAGCUUCUCUCCCCUUGGCCCAAUCUGGCUCAUACCUCAUCCACAGGGUUCCUUUGGUUGAAGGAUGUGCAGUGACCUUGAACCAUGUUUUUAGGUAUAAGGUUAAGGUCAUAGCAGAAUUAUAUAUAUAAAAUCCUUGUCUGGGGCAUAUCUUUUUUCCCUUUGGUCCAAUCUGGCUAAUACUCACAGAGUGUCUCUAUGGUUAAACGAUGUGCAGUGACCUUGCAUGAAAUUUCUAGGUAAAGGGUGAAGAUCAUAUCGGAUCAUGCAAAAAUCCUUUUUUGAGAGCAUAUAUAAUUUCUACUAACCCUUAUUUGGCUCAGACUUCACAUAAGCAGAGCGUUUGAGUAAAGGGUGAAAGGGUGUGUAGUGACCUUGAACCUAUUUUCAGUGAAAAGAAACUGUGAAGGUCAUAGCAGAAUUAUAUUUUUAAAAAUCCUUGUCCGGAGUAUAUCUUCUCUCCCUUUGCUCCAUUCAGCCUCAUACUUCACCCACAUGAUGCCUUUGAUCAAAAUAUAUGCAAUGACCUCGAAUGAUAUUUGUAGAUGAAGAGUCAAGGUCAUAUCAGAUCACACAAAAAUCCAUAUUUUAAGAGCAUAGAUAUACUCUCCUUUUAGCCCCAAUUUGGCUAAUAUUUUACCUUUACAGAGUUUAUUGGUUAAUGGCGUGCAGUGACCUUGAACCAAGUCUGUCAAUGUGAAGGCAGGGCUCGACAUUAACGCUUGUCCGCUUGUCCGGUACCAGUUAAAAAAAUAUGCGGACAAGUGAAUAUUGCUGGCCACUUGUCCGACUGGACAAGUGCAUUUUUUAUAGUAAGAAGUCUCCAACAUUUAAAAAAGAAAAGAAAGUUUUGUGAUAAGUUUAUCUGUAGUCUCGUUAUAAGUUUAUCGAUUAGUUAUUUUGAAUUUCGAUCCCGACAUCAAAUUGCAAUGCAAUUGAGUUACUCUUGAUCGGGAUUGAAGUUCACUAAUUUCAAACAACUUUCAAGGUGUGGAUCUUAGUUCUUACAAAGUACCAAACACAUAUGUU
rnacentral:sRNA from 1 species